rnacentral:lncRNA from 1 species
CCGAAGGACUUAAAAUAUCUUCAAUCUUUGGAUCUGGUACUUGAGGUUGCAGUAGCUUUGUUCUUGAGAGAGGUGGUAGCUAACACUUGAGAGAAUAUUAUCUUUUGAUUUGCAAGUGUGUGAAAGAUGAAAUCCCUUGCCUCAUGUUGAUAAUAUGUGUGUGUGAUGUUAUCAAGGAGGAUGCAAUAAAGUGCCCUUUAGUUUGACAUUAGCAAGCUACAACUGUGCGGUUGUACUGCUGCCAGACGGUACAGUGCAUUAGUCUGCGAGACGGUACAGUGCAGCAGCUUUUACAGCUGUAGAGUUGAUUGUACGACGACCAGGGGAACUGAUUCCUAUAUGUUUCCUUUGCUGUUUCCUUAUCUGAUUUCAUUGAGAAUUGAACCAGACAUCUGACUAGUUACUUUGAACGCAAGGGAACUAAUUGUAUCAGGUUCUUUAUCUUGUUCUCUCAUAAAGCUUGUCAAAUCAUCAAAACAAAAGACGCAUAACUUAUCAACUCCCCCUUUUUGAUGAUGACAAACUUAGAAUUGAUAUUCCCCCUAAGAACCAGAUCUUCACAUUCUUCCCCCUACGAAUCAGCCAUAUUCACAUGAGAACCAGACCAAAGGAACUGAUCACAACUGGUUCCUUGAGAUUGUUUGGCAAAUCAUCAAAAUAUAAAAUAGCAUAACUUAUCAAUUUCCCCUUUUUGAUGAUGGCAAACUUAGAAUUUCUAUUCCCCAUUAGAAUCAGAUUCUUUACAUGUACUGGUCACAUCUGUUCCGUACUUGGUUCCUUGAGAACGUUUGACAAAUCAUCAAAACAUGAAACAUCAUAACUUAGAGCAAUUUCCCCCUUUUUGAUGAUAACAAACCCAAAAUUAAUGUUUUCCUUGAGAACCAGAUUCCUCACAUGUUUCCCUGCGGAUCAGACCUAUAAUCAACAUGUUAUCAGCAAUAUUCCCCCUGCGAAGCAAAGCUAUCUUUUAUGCACAACACAAUAUAUCAAUUCGAUUCUGUUCCUCCCCCAUGUUGACACCUAUAUAACUUUCCCCUUUUAGCAUCAUUGAAAAAAAUAACAGAAGAAGCACAACCAAAAAGAAGUUCAAUAACAUUAACUUAUGUCAUUUGGGCAACACAGCAUAAACAAUAACAAGAACAAUAAGUGCAUGUUAUUGCACAAAAUAGAAUGAAUGCCCAUAGUAGAGUAAUUAUAAUAAAAACAUGGUAGUUUCAACAAUACAGAAUAUGACAAUAUAAACAACUAAAGUACUAAUAUCAUCAAAAAUAGGAAUUAAAAGAAGACAAGAAUUUAAGGGAAUUUGGAAGGAGUGAAAGACAUGGAUCACUAGACAGGAAGAAAAGUAAGGGGCUAAGGCAUUGAUGAGCUUGUCCAUUCGUUCAUUCACAAUCCUUUGAUCAAGGAUCAUAUGCUCUCUUAGGUCCUCCAUCUAUUUCCUCAAUCUUUCAUUCUCACCCUUCAACUUAGCAUUCUAUUCUGCAAAGGGUCCACGGGGACCUGGUUCUCUACCUAUCUGAGCAGGCUGAACCAUCAACCAGAUCACCAAGAAUCUCCCCAAGCUUCUUCUCAUCAAGAACAAACUCAGUUCCAUGCACAUAUAGUAUCAUAGUAUCACAUACAACAUAGAAGUUUUUACUUCUUCCUAAACAUUGGGACUUGGAGGAACAAAGAGGUGAUUCUAUUUUUGGAACUCAGCAAUGCCAAGAAGUUCCUCCAUUUUUCAGCAAUAUCAGCACUCUGCCUAAUAGCACUUUUGAGGCUUCAAAGUCUUCUACCUCUCCAAACCCGAUAACUCAAUCUUUUGAUUCUGUAAGGAACCAGGUUCCUCACCCACGCUACCCUUUCUUUCCCUGAGCGGCCAUGUCUCCCUCUUCUUCUUCUCAAUCUGUUCACCCUUAUCAUCUGUUGCAUCUUUCUUAACCAACCUUUUUUUCUCAAUUUUUUUUUCACAAGUGAAGAUUUUUCCACUUUAUUCUAUCCUUCACAAUCACCACAUUAGCAAGUCACACCACUUUAUCAUCAAUCAACCUACUUUUCAUCAAUCCUUUUCACUGGAUCGGAAGUUAGUUUAAACACAGAACUCAAAAAGAAAAAGAUCAACACUAGAAUUAACAUCCUGAGAAGGACUUGAUGGAUCAGGCCAUUCAUUCAGUUCGCCUUUUUGCAGCACAUUCAACAAUUUCUCUAUCCUUCAAUACUUCUACAAACCCAACAAUAAUUUCAGCCUCACGCUCUAGAAUAUUAGCUCUACCCUGUUCCCUUUCAGUUAAAAUCCCAUCAAAAUCUACCAAAGACUUGUUGGGAUUUUGAUUCAGAUGGAGUUAGGAUUUUGGAAAGUGACAGAGUUGGGUUCACUUAUGGCAUAUUUGGAGAGAAGGAUUCUGUUAAGACAAGAUUAAUUUUGGUUUUGAAGUAAAGAAUCAGUUUUGGUUGGGUGUAAGAGAAGGAAGUGAUUGUUAGGGGCAACGUGUCAGUUCAGAAAAAGUUUAACGUUUUAGACUUCAAAAAUUAGGAGAGAGGCGAAAUAAUAUAAUGACAUGACACUUCAGCAGAUUAAAAAGGUAUAUAAGUAUUGGAGAGACUACUAACCUGAGUCGCAGGAACUAGGUUCCUUGAGGGUUUUUGAAAAUCUGAGCAAAGACUUCUAAAAGUGCAAUGUCACUCUUACUUGUUUUGUCCUAAAACUGCCAUGUGUGUAUACUUGUAACAGUAUAGAUUUGAGUUAGAUGUUGCCGAAAAAUACUUUUUAGCAUUGUGCCUUUCCUUCUUAACAUAGCCAACUAUCGAGGGACCAGGUCCUUAGUUGAGCUUAAUCAACCCCAACUCCAGACGAUUUCUUUCCAAAUGUUCCUUGAUCAACGCCUUGGAAAGUGAUAGAGUUGGGUUCACUUAUGGCAUAUUUAGAGAGAAGGAUUCUUUUUAAGACAAGUUUGAUUUUGGUUUUGAAGAAAAGAAUCAGUUUUGGUUGGGUGUAAGAGAGGGAAGUGAUUUUUUGGGGCAACAUGUUUGUUCAGAAAAAGUUUUAACAUUUUGGACUUCAAAAAUUAGGAGAGAGGCGGGAAUAAUUUAAUGACAUGACACUUCAGCAGAUUAAAAAGGCAUAUAAAUAUUGGAGGGACUAUUAACCUGAGUCGCAGAAACCAGGUUCCUUGAGGGUUUUUGAAAAUCUGAGCAAAGACUUCUAAAAGUGCAAUGUCACUCUUACUUGUUUUGUCCCAAAACUGCCAUGUGUGUAUACCCAUAAAAGUAUAGAUCUGAGUUAGAUGUUGCCGAAAAAUACUUUUAGCAUUGUAUCUUUCCUUCUUAACAUAGCCAAUCAUCGAGGUACCAAGUCCUUAGUUGAGCUUAAUCAACCCCAACUCUAGAAGAUUUCUUUCAAAAUGUUCCCUGCUCAGCGCCUUGAUGAAGAUGUUUGCUACCUGGUUCUCCGUCUUCUAGAACUUCAUACAAAUCAGACCCUUUUUAACAUUUAUCCCUUAAAAAGUGAUGUCACAUAUUAAUGUGUUGUGUCCCCUUGUGUUGUACUGGGUUAUUUGCCAUGAUUAGAGCACUUGUGUUAUCAUACAACAAUGGCACACGAUCUGUAAACACACCCAAAUCUUCUGGUUGUUGCUUGAUCUAUAUCAGUUGAGCACAACAAAAGGCAACAUCCACAUAUUCAACUUCAAUAGUAGAAAAAGCCGCAGAGUUUUGUUUCUUGUACCUAAGAGAUCAAACAUGACCCCAGAAAAUGUGCCAUUCCAGAUGUUCUCUUUCGAUCCACCAGAUAUCCAACAUAAUCAGCAUCAGCAUAUCCAACCAAGUCAAAAUUAUCUCCUGAAGAAUAGAAGGGGACCAGGUCCUACGUUCCCUUAGGAUACCUCAAAAUUCUUUUGGAAACCUUCAAGUUAGAUUCUUUUGGGCUUGAUUGGAACGUAGAGCACAACCCAACACUAAAAACAAUAUUAGGUUUGCUAACAGUCAAGUAUAGAGGAGAUCCAAUGAUACCCCUAUAUAUAGUUUCAUUGACAGGAAAGCGAGGUUCGUCCAUGUCUAGACAAGUAGUAGUGGCAAUAAGUGUAUCAAUGGUCUUAGCAUUCUCCAUCUCAAAUCUUUUCAGCAACUCCAUGAAGUACUAAAACUUCAGAAUUUGAUGGACCAGGUUCCUCCAUUUUUGAAACAUCAUUGACAUCAACAUAAUUAUGACUUCCACUUCUUUGUUCUGCAUUAGAAGUACCUGAUGCAACAUCAGCAACCCUAUGUUCAGCUUCAGUCAAGGUGAUAGAGGGACCAGGUUCCUCUGUGCCUUUUGGAGAUUCCGCUGCAUCUUCUUCAUCGCUCUGCUUUACCUGACACAUCAAAUUAGUCUUUCAAUUUGCAAUAUUUAUAGCUUCACCGGGAGCAUUUGUCAAUUGUCCAUCUUCAUCUUCUUUGUUAUAUGACCCUUUGUCGCCAUUGUUGAGAAAAAUCCAAAGGCUCUCAAGUAAGUCAGCUUGGGUUUUCUCCCAUUGAUCAGUUCAUGGAGAGACUUCUCGAAAAGGGACCUGAUCAUGCACAUGUUAAUCAAGUAGCAGGCAAUGUUGACUGCUUCAGCCCACGAACCAGGUCCUCCAUAACCAACUUGUUUAGCAAAUAAAAACUCACAUGCCCCAGCCAUCUGCGCCAUAACUCAACAUCACCAUCAAUGACACUUAGGCAUGUUAGAUCACCAUCAUUCAGUGAAUCAAGGUCUGCAACAUAGAUGUUCUUGAACUUUUUGUCUAUCAACACCACUUCACUAGUUUUAAGAUUGGUGACAGUGCAAGAUUUGUACAAGAACUUCACUCCAUUUUCCCUUAUCACAGAUUUGAGACACACUCAACAAACUAUAGUUCAAGCCAUUCACAUGGUACACAUUUUCAAUUUCAAUUUGGGUCCCUUAUAAAAAUAGAAUGGGCGGAUCAAACUUCUUUUCGCCCAUGCAGGCAACAUAUAUUUUCCUCUCAGAGGACCAGGUUCCUAAAUAGUAUGCUUCUUUUCAACAAAAACUUUAUUUUUCUAUAAAGACUGAAUUUUAAAUUUAUAAGAGUCUUUGUAAUGACCAGUUUGACCAUAAUGAGUGCACAACCUAUUAUCAGCCACAAUUACAUACUUGCUAUGGGGAUUAUAGGAGGUUUUAACCUUUUGGAACCCGAUUCCUUGCCAGUUUCUACCAUUACUCUUGUAUAUAGACGUUAUUAUAUCAGAGGACUGAAUCCAUUUAAGUGACUUAUCAAGAUCAUUUUUAACCCUUUCCAGAUCCUCCUAAAGUUAUCUAUUAUUUUCAAGCUCAACAACAAGACUUGUUUUAACUUUCUUAAGUUCACUCUCAAGCUCAAGUUGAGCCUCACUAGCAACUUCUUUUGCUUUAGGGGUAUCCAUCCAUUUUUUAAUUUGGUUUUUCAACAAGGUGUUUUCUAUGGUUACUUCUCCCUUAUGUUUCUUCAAAUAUACAAUAAAAACUAACAUAUUGUCCCCUCUUGUUCUGUGUCACCAAUUUCUUCAAUUAGAGCAUUUUUCUCAUUAAUGAGGCUAUGAUAGGCAUCAAUCAACCCAUUUGCUAAGGACAUCAAUUUUUUCAUAGAGUAAGUUUUUAAAUUUCUUUGAACAUCAAGAAAACUUACCUCUUCUUCCUCCUUGUCCUCAUCAUCAUCAAAUUUAGCCAUGAGUACGAAGAUUGGCUCAUAUUUUGAAGAUUCAUUGUCAACAACCAUCAUAGAUACAUCUCCUUGGUCGUCCUCACCUUCAGAUUCGCUGGAGGAAUUUCCCCAGUCAGCCUAAGCUUGCUUCACCAUGUUGUCAGCAGCAUUGAAUUUUCUGUCAGGGACCUGGUUCCUCUUAGCCGCCUUAUCAGUGUUGGUUUUGUAAUUAUCAUGCUUAUGAAGAGGGGAGUCUUUAAUGAAGUGUUCAUGUUUUCCAUACUUAUGACAACAGUCAUUUCCUUUGAAAUUCUUGCUGAAACUUCCUUUUUUGGGAUCCCACCAUUUUUACGAACCAUCAUUUGAAAUCUUCGAGCGAGAUACAUCAUGUCAGAUUCAUCACUACUUUAGUCAGUGUGGGAAGCUUUGAGAACCAGGUUCCUCUCCUACUUGGGAUCUCUUCUUUUAAGAUCCUUCUUUCUCUUCAUCUCAUAUGUUUUGAGAUUUCGAAUAAGCUCGUCAACAAUCAGCUUGUGCAUGUCUUUGGCUUCAGUGAUAGCAUUAACCUUGCUCUCCCAAGAACCUAGUAAAACACCGAGUAUCUUCCAGACCAGCUUGUUGGUUGGAAUGAUUUCACCAAGUAAAUAAAGAUCAUUAAUUAUGGAGGUAAAAUAUGUAUGCAUCUCUUGAAUGAACUCAUCCUCUUUCAUUUUAAAGAGUUCAUACUCAGUUGUAAGCAUAUCUAUUUUGGACUGCUUUACCUGAGUAGUUCUCUCGUGAACCAUUUGAAGAGAUUCCCAGAUUUCCUUGGCAGAUUCACAUGCCGAGAUACGAUUAUACUCGUCUGGUCCAAUACCGCACACAAGAAUCUUCUUUGCCUUGAAGUUCUUCUCAGCAGCUUUUCGGUCACCACCAUUGUAUUCUUUUUUUGUUUUUGGAAUAGUCCUUUUUCCCUCUCCAACAGUCUUCAUAGGGACAAAGGGACCAUCACAAAUCACGUCCCAAAGCUCGGAGUCCUCAACAAUUAUGAAGUCAUGCAUUUUUGUUUUCCACCAACCAUAGUAUUAGUCAUUGAAUCUUGGUUGUCUGGAUGUUGAUUGUCCUUCCUUGAAGUUUAGUGGAGUAGCCAUGUAGAUCCUUUCUAGGUGUUAACCUUUUAGAAAGAACCUGCUCUGAUACAAAUUGAUAGGAAUUAGGAGUCUACCAAACUAUAUAGAGAACCAGGUUCUCUAUCAGUUCCCACAAUAAGCAAAAGACUAUAAAACCAAACAGUAUAGGGAACUAGGUUCUCUAUCUGUUCCCACAGUAAAUCAGCAAUAAAUAAAGAACACGUGAUAUUUACGUGGAAAAAUUCUUGCUCAGAAGAUUAAAAACCACGACCUACCCUAGUAGGAUUUCAACUCCACUAAACCGAACAAACUUCAGAUUAAAACCUAUUGCAAUCUAGGAAUUAAACUCUUAAUCUCUCACUCCUUACAGUAACUUUAUUAUAAGCACUUUGUAAUAAAUCUAUUACAAAGUAACAAAAUUUGACUAACUCAAGUCAAGAAACUAAAUCAAACAGUGGUUUAAAUAUUUCCUACAAAGACACUCCUUGAAAGUAGUGUAGGAUUACAAAUGAAGAACAAAAUGACAAAGACUCAACAAACCUAAGGACUUAAGAUAUCUUCAAUCUUUGAAUCCGGUCUUUGAGGUUACAACAACUUUGUUCUUGAGAGAGAUGGUAGCUAGCACUUGAGAGAAUAUUAUCUUUUGAUCUGCAAGUGUGUGAGAGGUGAAAUCCUUUGCCUCAUGUGUCACGCCCUAACACUAUGUGACCGGCACCUAGUAUUCUACCCGACCUGAGUGAACCAUCCUAUAGAUUAAUACACAUCUAUAUGUUUAAUAGGAGGAUGUGAAAGGCUCUUCAAUUUCAAUCAUUUUAAGAUAUACGCAAAACAUGAAUAAUGUCUUUAAGUAAAUAUUUUCCUUUGAAGGCAAAGCUUCAUAAAGAUAAAAGAAAAUUUCGUUCAUGCACACCAUGUAAGUAACCAUAGGAUUACAACCCAAAAUGAAUACUACUGUUGUCUAUGGAAUCUCUAUGACAUGAACUGAAAUAGUCAGCCAAGGCAUAACCCGGUUGCUUAAAAGGAUAUUAAUAUAAUAAAGUCCUCCAGAAAUACAAACGUGAAGUCUCACCAAAUAACGUCAAUGGGGAAAUGUAGAGCUGCCCUAUCCAAGCGGUUCAAGUUGCUCAGGUCCAGCCCCUGAAAAUAGAAAAUAGAAAUGUGGCCGAA